UAGCAACACCGCUGACGACCGGCGCACGGGUGAGUAACGCGUAUGCAACCUGCCUAGUAACUGGGGAAUAGCUCCCUGAAAGGGGAAUUAACACCGCAUAACACUAUUGAUUCGCAUGGAUUGGUAGUUAAAUGUAGCGAUACAGGUUAUAGAUGGGCAUGCGUGACAUUAGCUAGUUGGUGAGGUAACGGCUCACCAAGGCUACGAUGUCUAGGGGUUCUGAGAGGAAGGUCCCCCACACUGGUACUGAGACACCGGACCAGACUCCUACGGGAGGCAGCAGUGAGGAAUAUUGGUCAAUGGGCGCAAGCCUGAACCAGCCAUGUCGCGUGCAGGAAGACUGCCCCCUAUGGGUUGUAAACUGCUUUUAUAGUAGAAGAAACACAUCUACGUGUAGAUGUCUGCCAGUAUACUAUGAAUAAGCAUCGGCUAACUCCGUGCCAGCAGCAGC
rnacentral:rRNA from 1 species